UACGAAGGGGGCGAGCGUUAUUCGGAAUCACUGGGCGUAAAGCGUGCGUAGGCGGUCUUGUAAGUUAGGAGUGAAAGCCCAGGGCUCAACCUUGGAAUUGCUCUUAAAACUGCAAGUCUAGAAUCUCGGAGAGGAUAGCGGAAUUUCCAGUGUAGCAGUGAAAUGCGUAGAGAUUGGAAGGAACACCAGUGGCGUAAGCGGCUAUCUGGACGAGUAUUGACGCUGAGGCACGAAAGCGUGGGGAUCAAACAGG
rnacentral:rRNA from 1 species